AGAGUUUGAUCCUGGCUCAGGACGAACGCUGGCGGCGUGCUUAACACAUGCAAGUCGAACGGAAAGGCCCUGCUUUUGUGGGGUGCUCGAGUGGCGAACGGGUGAGCAACACGUGAGUAACCUGCCCUUGACUUUGGGAUAACUUCAGGAAACUGGGGCUAAUACCGGAUAGGAGCUCCUGCUGCAUGGUGGGGGUUGGAAAGUUUCGGCGGUUGGGGAUGGACUCGCGGCUUAUCAGCUUGUUGGUGGGGUAGUGGCUUACCAAGGCUUUGACGGGUAGCCGGCCUGAGAGGGUGACCGGCCACAUUGGGACUGAGAUACGGCCCAGACUCCUACGGGAGGCAGCAGUGGGGAAUAUUGCACAAUGGGCGGAAGCCUGAUGCAGCAACGCCGCGUGCGGGAUGACGGCCUUCGGGUUGUAAACCGCUUUCGCCUGUGACGAAGCGUGAGUGACGGUAAUGGGAAGA
rnacentral:rRNA from 1 species